rnacentral:rRNA from 1 species
CUACGUGCCAGCAGCCGCGGUAAUACGUAGGGGGCGAGCGUUGUCCGGAAUUACUGGGCGUAAAGGGCACGCAGGCUGUGCUUCAAGUCAGCUGUAAAAGGAUGCGGCUUAACCGUGUUAUGCAGUUGAGACUGAGGUGCUGGAGUACCGGAGAGGCAAGUGGAAUUCCCAGUGUAGCGGUGAAAUGCGUAGAUAUUGGGAAGAACAUCGGUGGCGAAGGCGACUUGCUGGACGGUAACUGACGCUGAGGUGCGAAAGCCAGGGUAGCGAACGGGAUUAGAUACCCCGGUAGUCCUGGCCGUAAACGAUGAAUGCUAGGUGUGCGAGCAGAGAUGUUGGUGUGCCGCAGUUAACGCGAUAAGCAUUCCGCCUGGGGAGUACGGUCGCAAGAUUGAAACUCAAAGGAAUUGACGGGGGCCCGCACAAGCGGUGGAGCACGUGGUUUAAUUCGAUGCAAACCGAAGAACCUUACCUGGGUUUGACAU